rnacentral:rRNA from 1 species
GAUGAACGCUGGCGGCGUGCCUAAUACAUGCAAGUCGAGCGAACGGACGAGAAGCUUGCUUCUCUGAUGUUAGCGGCGGACGGGUGAGUAACACGUGGAUAACCUACCUAUAAGACUGGGAUAACUUCGGGAAACCGGAGCUAAUACCGGAUGAUAUUUUGAACCGCAUGGUUCAAAAGUGAAAGACGGUCUUGCUGUCACUUAUAGAUGGAUCCGCGCUGCAUUAGCUAGUUGGUAAGGUAACGGCUUACCAAGGCAACGAUGCAUAGCCGACCUGAGAGGGUGAUCGGCCACACUGGAACUGAGACACGGUCCAGACUCCUACGGGAGGCAGCAGUAGGGAAUCUUCCGCAAAGGGCGAAAGCCUGACGGAGCAACGCCGCGUGAGUGAUGAAGGUCUUCGAAUCGUAAAACUCUGUUAUUAGGGAAGAACAUAUGUGUAAGUAACUGUGCACAUCUUGACGGUACCUAAUCAGAAAGCCACGGCUAACUACGUG